AACCAUAGAAACCUGCGGAGUACCUGCGGAAGGAUCAUUACCGAGUUUACAACUCCCAAACCCCUGUGAACAUACCUAUACGUUGCCUCGGCGGAUCAGCCCGCGCCCUGUAAAACGGGACGGCCCGCCCGAGGACCCUAAACUCUGUUUUUAGUGGAACUUCUGAGUAAAACAAACAAAUAAAUCAAAACUUUUAACAACGGAUCU
rnacentral:misc_RNA from 1 species